rnacentral:rRNA from 1 species
UGCAGCCGCAACUCGGCUGCAUGAAGCUGGAAUCGCUAGUAAUCGCGGAUCAGCAUGCCGCGGUGAAUACGUUCCCGGGCCUUGUACACACCGCCCGUCACACCAUGAGAGUCGGGAACACCCGAAGUCCGUAGCCUAACCGCAAGGGGGGCGCGGCCGAAGGUGGGUUCGAUAAUUGGGGUGAAGUCGUAACAAGGUAAC